UUCUGAUUUCAAUUUUGACAAAAUUUGUAGGUAGCGGUGGUGUUUUUUUUUUUAACAUGAGAAAUGCUAACUGUUAAACUGGCCAUCUCUAGUUUUCUUGCAUGGAAAUAAUUCUGACACGUGCCUUCGAUGAUUCCGAUUGAGCUUUAUUAUACUAUACUUGAAGGCUUCUGUAAUCUUUUCUCGUCUACCUGUGAAGUGCUUUCUAAUAUGAAGGCAAACUCACAACAUUCAAAACUGUUAAACCGAGCUCAUCCACUUCUAAUCUUAUUUGGCUUGAAGUCUAUUUUUUGUGCAAUUGGUGUACAUACAGUAUUGAGUUCUUGUUCUAAACUUAUUCAUUUAUGCAUAAUUUGUGCUGCCUCUUAUGUUAUUCUUCUGUGCAUGUGACCUUCUAUAAUCAUGCGUAUAUCUGUAACCUGUACAUAGGAUAAACCUUCAUUUUUUGGUUCAACUCCUUCAAUGUUGCAGGUAUCUGGCCAAGAUUUUAGUACCUGAAGGUUCAAACUAUGUUUAGGUUGGACAUCCCGUUUUUUUUUUCACGGUUGAAGACUCCAAGGAUAUUGCAAAGAUACCUGCGGAUACCUCCUUUAGAGUAUUGAAGUUGAUGCCACUGAACAAAGCCUAGAAUUGAGACACAUCAGCCCAACAGCUAAGACGCUCAUCAAGGAACAUGGUCUUAAGAUCUCCUUGCUGAAGGCAUCAUGUCGAUGUGGGACUCUUCUGAAAGGUGACAUUUUGGCUGCAUUGAAGGCAUGCACUGCUUCAAGUUCAGCCAAAGAAAAGACAGCUCCCAACCAGCUUGUGAUUCCCAAACUCAAUCUCUAACCAUUUCACAAAAAAGCGGUACAUUUCAAUAUAUGACCAAUACUCAGAUAUGCAAGGUACAGUGUCUGGCUGCGUAUUCAUUUCUGUUGCAUCAACAUGUACUUUAUAAAAAAAAUCUUAAUUCAGAUUUGUAUUGGGAACAUAUGAAAACCUCUAAAAGAAGGAUAACCAAUCUAACUCAAAUCCUAUUUUAUAUUUAGGUUAACGUUAGAAUUCAUGUCUUUUUUUAACCUUGUUGGUAGCAACCACAUUAUUGGUUUUUUUUUUUUGCCUAAUUGUUUUGUUUAGUUUCCUUGAUUACUAUCAUAAUUUGGUUUCCUCUGUCAUGAUUAACCCACUGAUAUUUUCUUGUCCAUCAUGUUAUAUACUAGUAGCUCAAAUGGCACAUGGCUUGAUUGUAGCGAGUAUUCCAAGAAGUGAUAUUUCCAUCUUGUUUUCUCUUCCUUUUAUUGGUCACAAAAACCAAUUAAUGGAGAACAAGUAAUGCUGGUGUAUUAACGAGUUGAUAACCGUCUAGAUGCAUACGAUUUUUUUAAGCAUGAUGUGUGGAACUGUUGAUGUGGUCAAUCUUAAAUUCCCGAGCUAUAUUUGCCACUGUAUUUAUGCCGCAUGAGGCUCCUUAGCUGAAACGUCAAUUAUCUUGUCCUGGUUGAUGUAUUGAGCAUUCCCCGAGGAUCAAUGAUAUUGGAGGUGGGGAUUUUCCUGUUAGUUAUAUGAAACUUUACAAGCUCCUUAGCUGAAACGUCAAUUAUCUUGUCCUGGUUGAUAUAUUAAGCAUUCCCUGUGGUUCAAUGUUAUUCAAGGUGCCGAAUUUCUCUGCUAUAUGCAUGGUUUUAAAGGCGCCAAGACGUCCCAAGGCGAUGGGGGGGCGCCUCAACGCCUAGGCGCUCAAAGCGCAUUGCAAGGCGACGCCUUUGAGGCUGCCUUGCUGGAAGCAAAGCAUCAGCUAGGUAGGAUGAGCACAGGCAAGCAGAGGCAAAGCAGGCAAGAAGAAGUGCAUCACAUACACACACCAGACACCACCAAGGCACCAAGAGAAGCUGUCAUGGAAGCUGUACAUUGUUUCCCCUCUGGGAGAGGGAUGCACCAGUGGGAGGAGUCGCCAGAAGCUUGGCCGGAGCUGGGGAGGCCGGCAGAUGAAGGAGCAGCAGCAGAUCUGUCCAGAGUUGGGGAGGUCGCGUGAGAGGAGCUCCCCCUCUCUCUCUUCCCUCUCUUUCCCCUAUAGAUGGCCCUCAAUUUCCCUCCCUGCCCGCCAUUUCUGUUUUCCCCUCCUGCCAGCCCAAAGUUUCCCGCGCACAGAACAGAGGCGUCCAGAUUCUUGCAAGGCGGCGAUUUCGCGCCUAGGCGACGCCUUUGGACGCCUCAGAGACGCCUUUGGACGCCUUGGGCAGAAAACAAAGGCGACGCCGACGCCUUGCCCUCCUGGAACGCUCGGACGCUUAAGCGUCGCUUCGGCGACGCCUUUAAAACCAUGGCUAUAUGAAACUUCACUUGAUUUGGUAUAUGGAUAUCAAUAUGCUCAUGAGAAACAACUAGUCUCUUCGCAAGCUCAGACUUGUUUUUUUGUGGACUUAGCUUUGUUACUAUAUAUAUUCUGACCUGUCCCUUCUCUGAUUCCGAUUGAGCUUUGUUACUAUACUUGGAGGCUUAUGUAAUGUUUUACAUGAGCAGUUCUUACUGAUACAGUCUCACAACAUUCUAAAUUGUUAAACUAUGCACCUCCACUUCUAAUCUUAUUCGGGUUGAAGUCCCCAUUUCGUUGUUACACUUUUGUUCAUGGUUUGACACUUGUAAUUUCGGUGAAAGCUUUUCUCUGCUUAUUCCUAAGAUAAUACGGUCCUCUUUUUAACCUUUCUUGCUGUGCACAUGCUUUUCAGUAUCUUCUCAUCUUGAGUUUACCUUUUUUGUUUCCUUUGGAUUAUGUGUUGUUUUACUUUUUGGUCCUCAAAUUGCCAACCAGCUUGGUUAGGUUUGAUACUUUUUGAUAAUCAGAUCCUCCCUUUUUUCCAUGAAAACUCAACGUUUAAAAAAGUGUACGCUCAGGCGCACUUAAGCGGGGAUUAUAGCGAAGUAGUGGAAUACCGCUUCGUUUCAGGCCUGAGCGGGAGGUUAAGCGCUGAGUGCGAUUAAGUGUUGUGAUUAGGCGAUGGGCAUCACCUAAGCGCGCAGAAGCGGGCAGAAGUGAAGGAAAGCGCAGUGUUGAGCGUCCAUGGUCGCCGGUGGCAAAGCGAAAAAUUGAGGGUAGGUGGGAGGGACUAGUAGAAUAUAGGGUUCCUGGGCACCCCAACGGAUCAUUCCCCCGCACACGAGACACAAAGAGAGACAGGGGAGAGAAGCAGCGGCGGCACACCCUUGCUGCUCCACCGGUGACGCUGCGCCUCCAGUGCCCUCCACCUCCUCCUCUAGGCCGGUGGGAUGUCUACUCCCCUCCUCCAAGCAGGCUGCCCAUCCCGCUCAUCCCCUCUAGAUUUUUUGAUCUAUCCGUUCUGAAAGUUGAAGGACCACUUUGUGCCUUUUAGCUUGCAAAUCUACAGUGCCAAAACUGAGCCUGGACCUCAAUUUUGAGUUCUCUCCUCUGAGUUCUACUGCUGCAGCCCACAGAAAUUUUUUUAUGUUGAGAGUGUCCCCAAAAUCUUUCAUUCUUUAUUACAAACUUUUAUGUCUUAAUUAUUGACAUCAGUCUUCCAUUUCAUAGUAGAAACAAUCAUUGUGCAAGUAUUAAACUUUGUGUAGCCAUAAAUUCUAUUUCAUCAUUGGAGUUGACUUUGUAUACUAUUCCGUUGUAGUUGUAAAUACACAAUCUUUUCCUAGAUCCAUUGUAAUCUAAAUUCUAUAAAAAUGGAAACAACAACUUUGGUCGCCAUGAUGGCAGCAUUUCGUGAUCGAGAGGUCAUGGGAUCUUCAGGACACUGUCAAUCGAUGCCAUGGUUGUCGGUAUUAAGAUCUCUCUUGUUUCUUCGUCUUAUGUUCCUUCAAAGUUCAAAUUGAUCUGAUCUGUUUCAUAUGCGUCUAUAGAUCAAUAUGGUUGCUGGGAGUACUAGGGCAGUGUAGUUGGGCAUAUCAAGCUGGAUACAUGGACCGAUGCAACAUCCAAGGCACAUCGGAGAGAGACUUGGAGCAAAAUAAGAAUGCGAGCGAGAGACUUGGAGAGAAGAUGCAUGUGAGAGACCUGUUGGAGAGAAGAAAAUGUAUCUUGUUUUGACCACUACACCCAUUCGAUGUGAUGAAGACUGCCCCUCAAGGCACGCAUAUGUCCAUGCAGUUGAUAGUCUUCUCCUUCAUGUUCUUCUGGAGGGGUUGGCUGAAUCAUCUGCGCUUGCAAUUCGUUUGCUGCAAUGGAUUAGGAGGUUUUAUGCCAUGAGGUGGAGGCGUUCCCGGUGCUAUUUGUAUGGAUGACAUCCAAAGUGACCCAGAAUGUCGGCAACAUUUGGUGAUCUAGAGGCCAUCAGCUCUUCAAGAUGGUGUAAUCAUCAUCUUCCUCAUGCAGCACAAUCCUAGGAACCACCAGCGUUUGUAUUCCUUGUGAUGUUCUUAAGCAGUGUUUACAGCUUGGAAUCUUUGACAAUGUAGGGGAGGCCAUUGGCAUACAAAAAGAUGGCACGAGGGGCUUCUUCCAUGGCAUUGGAGCAUCAGUUUGUCGUGAGUUUCCUUUCUAUAUUGCUGGAGUGUGCCCUUAUGGUGAAGCUAAAAUGUUGGCAAAGCAUGCCUUUAGCAUCUUCUAUAGCAGUUAGAGCAUUAUAUGGAGGCCUAUCACCACACCCAUUCAAUGUGCUGAAGACUACCCCUCCAGGCACGUGGGUCUCCAUGUGGUUGACAGUCUUCUCCUUCAUGUGCUUCUGGAGGGGUUGACUGCAUCCUCUGCGCUUGGAAUUCGUUUGCUGCAAUGGAGACGAGCAGAAUUUGGUCAGCUCGUAAUGCGAAUAUGCCUCAAAAUGUAGUGACAUAAAAGGCAACUACGACAAGAGUAGGAGACCUCAUGGAGGGCAAAAUUUCAAGUUAGUGGCGACAACAAAAUAUGUAGAGUAUGUCCAGAGUCGGACUUGCAGCAGCGCUCAGCUUAUCAGUUUGAUUGGCUUACCUAGUGGUAGUGCAAAAUUACCUCCGAUGCUCACUUUUAUUCAUGCCUAGGAAAAGAUAUCCAGUGACAUGCUUGGCAAACCAAACUUGAUGGUUAUCUUUUGUUGAAAGCUAACAUGUACGAUGAGACCUGAUGAGACCUGCCAGAUCAACUGCUGAGGGAGCGGUGCACACCGGGAGUGGUUGGCAGUUUGUUGAGGUGGUUUUGGUGGAGGGGAGAGGUGGAUGCGGCAUGUCCUAGUGUAGCAGCAGGAGCGAGAGGGAGAAGUGUGUGUGUGCAGGAGGGAGCUACCAUGGCCACCAGAUCUGACUAGCCGGACUUGCUUUUUUCCCCUGUUAUUGAGCUGAUGGAUGUUAGUUGCUCCAGCGAUGUGGUAUUUUGUUUCCUAGAAGAUCGAGGGCGAUGUCAUGCUAUCGCAGUAGCUUGUCAUAGAAUAGAAAAUGCUAGCUAGCUCCUUUAGAUUGUAUAAUGUUAUGUGAAGCCUAGCUUAAGAUUGCUAUCAUGUUCAACAUGUAGAUUCGGCAAUGAAAGCCAUUGGCAGCAUAAUAUUUGAAGGCCAGUGAAAACUUGAAUGAAACGUUUGUAAAAUUCAGCAUCUUGGCUUUGUGUUCAUGUGUACAUAGUAUAAAUAUGUUUUGUAUU